rnacentral:rRNA from 1 species
CGUACAACUGAGGUGCGAAGGCUGUCGCUGACCCUCAAGGGUUGUGCACGCCCGAGCGCUCUCACACAAUCCAUCUCACCUCUGUGCAUCACCGCGUGGGUCCCCUUUGCGGGAGGGCUCACGUUUUCACAUAAAACUCGAUACAGUGUAGAAUGUUUCUUUUGCGGUCACACGCAAUCAAUACAACUUUCAACAACGGAUCUCUUGGCUCUCGCAUCGAUGAAGAACGCAGCGAAAUGCGAUACGUAAUGUGAAUUGCAGAAUUCAGUGAAUCAUCGAAUCUUUGAACGCACCUUGCGCCCCUUGGCAUUCCGAGGGGCACACCCGUUUGAGUGUCGUGAAAUCUUCAAAACCCCUUUUUUCUUUGAACCAUUGUGGUCGGAAAAAGGGAUUUUUGGACUUGGAGGUUUAAUGCUCGCCCUUUCUCUUGAAAGCGAGCUCCUCUCAAAUGAAUUAGUGGGGUCCGCUUUGCUGAUCCUUGACGUGAUAAAAUGUUUCUACGUUUUGGGUUUAGCACUGUCCCUUGGAUGCCUGCUGCUAACCGUCUCAUUGACAAUGAU